CAGGACGAACGCUGGCGGCGUGCCUAACACAUGCAAGUCGAACGGAGUUAAUGAUUUCGGUUGUUAACUUAGUGGCGAACGGGUGAGUAACGCGUGAACAACCUGACCCAAAGAGGGGGAUAACAUUUGGAAACAGAUGCUAAUACCGCAUAAGACCACAACGUCACAUGGCGAAGGGGUCAAAGGAGCAAUCCGCUUUGGGAGGGGUUCGCGUCCCAUUAGGUAGAUGGCGGGGUAAACGGCCCACCAUGCCAACGAUGGGUAGCCGAGCUGAGAGGCUGAUCGGCCACACUGGAACUGAGACACGGUCCAGACUCCUACGGGAGGCAGCAGUGGGGAAUAUUGGGCAAUGGGCGCAAGCCUGACCCAAGCAACGCCGCGUGAGGGAAGAAGGUUUUCGGAUUGUAAACCUCUGUCGCAGAAGACGAAGGAAGUGACGGUAUUCUGUGAGGAAGCCCCGGCUAACUACGUGCCAGCAGCAGC
rnacentral:rRNA from 1 species